UCUCUUCAGACACGGGGCGACUCUUUGUGUUUCUAUCAAAAAGUUGGUCUUUUCCUACCUGUACAUCUCCCCAUCAUUUAUGAUUUCUAAUCGUAACCCCUACGAAAAUCCUCCUUAUCUUAAUUAGAGGAACCUUCCAUCUCAAACCAGCGUUUGCAACUCAACUUUCGACAUGGUCGCACAACUCAGUUUAUAGUUGGUCGCCUCAUCCGCUUAUGGGAUUCCCGCAAUUCAUGGGAAUGACACUUAUCUUCCUUGAUAGAAAGGACUGAAUUGUCACCUCAUCUGUUUCCUUAAAAAGAGAUAAGAUGGAAAGCGAAGAGAUGGAUUCUAUAUUCCGUGGGAACAUAAUGAACAAAAAAGAGAUGGAGGUGGUGAUGAACAAAGCCAAAAGAGAUCGUCUCCGAGUAACCAGUCGUUGUCUUCAGCAAAACUUACUCUGGUUAUUGUCAGAGGGUGAAACAGCUGUUGACAUAGCUAGGAGCUAGCUUUAAAGUGCUUGAGCUCGAUGAGAUGACUUAUCUGAGUGAACAGGGCAGAGCACUGUUCCAAACGUGUUCAUCAAAGGAAAACAUAUUGUUUUGGAUGUGAUAGAGUGAUGGAGAGUACAAGGAAAGCUAGCAUAUAUUGUAUGUUAUACGUGACAAGAACUAGCAGCAUGAAAUAGCUAAUUUAUUAAUCUAUAAAGACCCAUGAAGCUGAUUUCCUCUGUAUUGCUCGGAUUGUUGGGGUCCUCCAACAAAAUGGCUGGUCUUUUGUCUCAUGCACCGGAUGCAACAGGAAGUUGGAGUAAUCUGGAACCCUCCCUCCGAUGCAACAAAUGUGUUACUCCCCACAUCACCGGUGUUAUCAGGUGUACGUUGUUUAUCGUCUACCAUUUAUAAACACAAACCUUCAUUUUAGUAAUCAAUAACCCUUGGAUUCCUAUAUUUUAAGGUUUUGUGUUGAGCUUGCUGUGGAUGAUGGGAAAGAUAGUGAUACGUUUGUAAUAUUUGAUAAGGAGAUGACAAGGCUCACCAAGCAAGAAGUUGUUGUUCUUGCGUUUGAGGAGAUACCAACCGGUGGAGAGGAGGAGCUUCCAAGCUGUCUUGUAGAGCUUUCCUGGGAAGGAGUUCGUGUUUCAAAUCCGUGUGACACCUUACAGUUUCACACAUAAUCAACGUACCUUCACUGUAUCAACUAUCAACGAAGGUACUGACAAUCAGCCUGAGAGGGCCAUCAACAAUCUGCUACCACUCAGUGAAGAGGAAGGUGGAAUAACGACAACAUCUUCCAACGAGACGGUUGUUGCGGCGAAGCUAGGAAUGGGUGGUGAGACAGCAAAUCCACCGGGAAAUAAAAAUGUUGUUAACACACACAAGCACCACCGUGAGUGAUAAGAUACUAUUAAUUCCAGCAGCCCGUCAACCCCACUUUCAUUAUGUGGGUUUUUUAAAUAACUAUCCUUUGUAUUGCUCAUUUGAAACUUUGUUGUUUUUUUUUCCAAUUAUUUCCUGCAACUAUCUCUCAUUGGGGAAAUAGUUAUUUUGUUCUCUAA